UCGAACGGUAACAGGAAGCAGCUUGCUGCUUCGCUGACGAGUGGCGGACGGGUGAGUAAUGUCUGGGAAACUGCCUGAUGGAGGGGGAUAACUACUGGAAACGGUAGCUAAUACCGCAUAACGUCGCAAGACCAAAGAGGGGGACCUUCGGGCCUCUUGCCAUCGGAUGUGCCCAGAUGGGAUUAGCUAGUAGGUGGGGUAACGGCUCACCUAGGCGACGAUCCCUAGCUGGUCUGAGAGGAUGACCAGCCACACUGGAACUGAGACACGGUCCAGACUCCUACGGGAGGCAGCAGUGGGGAAUAUUGCACAAUGGGCGCAAGCCUGAUGCAGCCAUGCCGCGUGUAUGAAGAAGGCCUUCGGGUUGUAAAGUACUUUCAGCGGGGAGGAAGGCGAUAAGGUUAAUAACCUUGUCGAUUGACGUUACCCGCAGAAGAAGCACCGGCUAACUCCGUGCCAGCAGCCGCGGUAAUACGGAGGGUGCAAGCGUUAAUCGGAAUUACUGGGCGUAAAGCGCACGCAGGCGGUCUGUCAAGUCGGAUGUGAAAUCCCCGGGCUCAACCUGGGAACUGCAUUCGAAACUGGCAGGCUAGAGUCUUGUAGAAGGGGGGUAGAAUUCCAGGUGUAGCGGUGAAAUGCGUAGAGAUCUGGAGGAAUA
rnacentral:rRNA from 1 species